GUUUCCAUGAUCAGUGGUAGAGCGGUCGGCUGUUAACCGAUUGGUCGUAGGUUCGAAUCCUACUUGGGGGAUA
rnacentral:tRNA from 1 species